GAUGAACGCUGGCGGCGUGCCUAAUACAUGCAAGUCGAGCGAACGGACGAGAAGCUUGCUUCUCUGAUGUUAGCGGCGGACGGGUGAGUAACACGUGGAUAACCUACCUAUAAGACUGGGAUAACUUCGGGAAACCGGAGCUAACACCGGAUAAUAUUUUGAACCGCAUGGUUCAAAAGUGAAAGACGGUCUUGCUGUCACUUAUAGAUGGAUCCGCGCUGCAUUAGCUAGUUGGUAAGGUAACGGCUUACCAAGGCAACGAUGCAUAGCCGACCUGAGAGGGUGAUCGGCCACACUGGAACUGAGACACGGUCCAGACUCCUACGGGAGGCAGCAGUAGGGAAUCUUCCGCAAUGGGCGAAAGCCUGACGGAGCAACGCCGCGUGAGUGAUGAAGGUCUUCGGAUCGUAAAACUCUGUUAUUAGGGAAGAACAUAUGUGUAAGUAACUGUGCACAUCUUGACGGUACCUAAUCAGAAAGCCACGGCUAACUACGUG
rnacentral:rRNA from 1 species